rnacentral:rRNA from 1 species
UACGUAGGGUGCGAGCGUUGUCCGGAAUUAUUGGGCGUAAAGAGCUCGUAGGCGGUCUGUCGCGUCGGUCGUGAAAACUUGGGGCUUAACCCUGAGCUUGCGGUCGAUACGGGCAUGACUGGAGUUCGGCAGGGGAGACUGGAAUUCCUGGUGUAGCGGUGAAAUGCGCAGAUAUCAGGAGGAACACCGGUGGCGAAGGCGCUCAUCUGGCCCAAUACUGACGCUGAGGCGCGAAAGCUAGGUGAGCAAACGGG